AAUCUUGUCUUUCUGUUUGCCCCCUCAAUCGAGCGACACAAAGGCUGAAUUACUCAUUCAAACCUCGCGGGACAAAGGGAAAGGAGCUGGAUAGCACUCCUGCAUUUGUAGUCAAACAUUUAGAGACUUAAAUCGAGUCGUCAUGAAGGAGAAAGAGUCGGACAAAGCCCAUAGAAUUGCCAUCAGCAAACAUUUUCCUGUGUCAUAUUAUGGGGUCUCCAUGGCUCCCUCUGGCCCGCGGACAAUAGCACAAGUUUGCACACUCGAAUACUGUCACCCUGCCAACGGCAGCGCAACAAGGGCCCAAAACAGGACAAUCCCCAGAGAAAGCAUGGGCUCCGCGGGGAAAGUUGCAAUGGAGGAGGAAAAGGGGACUUGUGAAAUGCUAAUUGAGCUUCAUCCCCUUAUUGAAGUGGAAAAAGAGUACCUAUCGUUCCAUUGAAGCUCAGCAGCAGUGGAGUGAGAUGUGAGGAAACUGUUGUCUGCUUCUCAGCAAAGCUGUCCAGAAUACAUCCAUUAGUGGAACUUUCUAUGGGGCUGUGAUGUAUGUUGGGCAGAUUGCUGCUUGUUGGGAUGAGGUGAGGCAGCAGGAAGGAACCAGGAGGAUGUAGUGCUUUUCUCUUGUCAGAUAAUCGAUACUGGGACAGACUGUAGGAGAGGAUGGACGAGCUGAACCACUGGGCACAGUAUAUGCCAAAUCCAGGCCUGUUGUAUACUUCAAAAACUCUGCAAAAUCUCUGCAUUGUAUGUGCAAAUGCAGUUUAACAGCAGCUGCGGA